ACAGGUAACAGCUCAGUAGUAGAGUGCAUGCUUAGCAUGCAUGAGGUCCUGGGCUCGAUCCCCAGUACUUCCA
rnacentral:tRNA from 1 species